AACGAACGCUGGCGGCAGGCCUAACACAUGCAAGUCGAACGCCCUAGCAAUAGGGAGUGGCAGACGGGUGAGUAACGCGUGGGAACGUACCCUUCGGUUCGGAAUAACCCAGGGAAACUUGGACUAAUACCGGAUACGUGCGAGAGCAGAAAGAUUUAUCGCCGAAGGAUCGGCCCGCGUCCGAUUAGCUAGUUGGUGAGGUAAUGGCUCACCAAGGCGACGAUCGGUAGCUGGUCNGAGAGGAUGAUCAGCCACACUGGGACUGAGACACGGCCCAGACUCCUACGGGAGGCAGCAGUGGGGAAUAUUGGACAAUGGGCGCAAGCCUGAUCCAGCCAUGCCGCGUGAGUGAUGAA
rnacentral:rRNA from 1 species